rfam:Gossypium arboreum cultivar AKA8401 contig_46482_1, whole genome shotgun sequence.
UUUUAAAAAUUACAUCUAUUUGUACCGUUAAAAAUUGACAUAAUUGACUAAAUAACCAAAUAAUGAUAUAUGACAUCCAUAUGUACCUGUUAAUGUACGAAGACCAAUUUUUAAUAAUAUAAAUAGAUAAAAUUUUUAAUA